GAGAGGGAUGACCCACGGGAUCUUUUAGAUCUGCUUCUCUUGCGUGACUCCUUGGGGGUCUGUGGUAUACUUUC
rnacentral:snoRNA from 1 species